rnacentral:rRNA from 1 species
UACGGAGGGUGCGAGCGUUGUCCGGAAUCACUGGGCGUAAAGGGCGCGUAGGUGGCCUGUGGAAGUCUGCGGUGAAAGCCCGGCGCUCAACGCCGGGUCUGCCGUGGAUACUCUCGGGCUUGAGCUUACUAGAGGCAGAUGGAAUUCCGGGUGUAGCGGUGGAAUGCGUAGAGAUCCGGAAGAACACCGGUGGCGAAGGCGGUCUGCUGGGGUAAUGCUGACACUGAGGCGCGACAGCGUGGGGGAG